AAUGAACGUUGGCGGCGUGGAUUAGGCAUGCAAGUCGAGCGGAAAGGCCCGCAAGGGUACUCAAGCGGCGAAAGGGAGAGUAACACGUAGGUUACCUACCCUCCGACCCGGGAUAGCUGAGGGAAACUUCAGGUAAUACCGGAUAACGUCUCCGGACCAAAGGUGUGAUUCCGUCGGGGGAGGGGCCUGCGUCCUAUUAGCUUGUUGGGGAGGUAACGGCUCACCAAGGCAAAGAUGGGUACGGGGUGUGAGAGCAUGCCCCCGCUCACUGGGACUGAGACACUGCCCAGACACCUACGGGUGGCUGCAGUCGAGGAUCUUCGGCAAUGGGCGCAAGCCUGACCGAGCGACGCCGCGUGCGGGAUGAAGGCCUUCGGGUUGUAAACCGCUGUCAGGGGGGAGGAAAUGCUACGGGGUUCUCCCCCGUAGUUUGACCUAGCCUCAGAGGAAGUACGGGCUAAGUUCGUGCCAGCCGCCGCUGUAAUAC
rnacentral:rRNA from 1 species